rnacentral:rRNA from 1 species
ACGAACGCUGGCGGCGUGCUUAACACAUGCAAGUCGAACGGAAAGGCCCCUUUGGGGGUACCCGAGUGGCGAACGGGUGAGUAACACGUGAGUAACCUGCCCUUGACUUCGGGAUAACUUCAGGAAACUGGGGCUAAUACCGGAUAGGAAUCCUUGCUGCAUGGUGGGGGUUGGAAAGCUUCGGCGGUUUUGGAUGGACUCGCGGCUUAUCAGCUUGUUGGUGGGGUAGUGGCUUACCAAGGCUUUGACGGGUAGCCGGCCUGGGAGGGCGACCGGCCACAUUGGGACUGAGAUACGGCCCAGACUCCUACGGGAGGCAGCAGUGGGGAAUAUUGCACAAUGGGCGGAAGCCUGAUGCAGCAACGCCGCGUGCGGGAUGACGGCCUUCGGGUUGUAAACCGCUUUCAGCAGGGGCGAAGCUUGUGGUGACGGUACCUGCAGAAGAAGCACCGGCUAACUACGUG